rnacentral:lncRNA from 1 species
UGUCCAUUAUUUUAUUAUAUAGUUUAUUUUAAUAUAAUUAGAAUAAUGUGUGAAUUAAUAUUAUUUUGGAGUUUGGGGAGUUAAUUAGGAUUUAAUAAAAAUUAAGGGAGUUUAAUGAAAUAAAGGGGGAGUUAUAGUUUUGGGGGUUAGGAAAAGAAAGAGUCAGCAUCAGUUUUACGUGAAACAAGUUUUGGAGAGGAAAACCAAGAACAAGAGAGAAGAGCCUAGGAACCGAUUUUGCUGUGCAAUCUUUCUGCAAAUCUAAGGUAAGGGUGAGACUAUCUCUCAAUAAUCAUAGUAUAUAAUUUCUGAAAAUUGUUUUAACAUGAAUUGUUCUUGAGAUAAAAAUUGGGAAAUUAGGGUUGAUGCUGAUUUUGAAAGGAAUGGUGUAAGGAUCAUGUUUAACGUGUUGUAAUUUGAUGUUCAGAAUGAUUUCUUAAUCUAUAAUGUUGAUGUGAUCAGAAUUUGAAUGAAAUUAGAAUCGGUUGGAUAAAUUGGAGAAGUUUUGUAUGAUUGCUAGAAUGAUCUGAAACAUCUGCUGCCUGUUUUGUGUUCCUUUAGAUGCCUAGUUGUGUAUAGGACCUGUAAACAUCUGCUG